UACCUCCCCCAUUCCCCCCCUUCCUCGGCGCCAGACACCCAGGCUUGUAUAACUUGUAAAAUGGCGGCGUCGGGACAUUUGCGUACUUCCUGGGGUUAGCAAAGCAGCUAGAGGAUGACUCUCUAAGGACAGUGGAGACACUGGCCAGUUAAUGUGUCCCGGUGCCUAUGGAUACCAGCGGGUGUCUGAUUUCCCAUUACUGAAGUUAAUAACGCUGAGGAGAUAGAAGCAGGAGAAUCAGGAGUUCAAGAUUAGACUCAGCUACAUGGUCCUUCUCUAGUCUGUCUGCUAUCCAGAUUUAUCCGUGCAACACAUGAGCACUGUCCCCUUGAUGUGUGAAUUCCCAUUCCAGCCUUGGAUUCAAAGACUGCCACCUAAUAAUGAUGUCUCAGUUCAGCAGGAAAUGGCUAGAAUGAUCUCAGUGCCACCUAGCUGCCACCUCCUUUUCUGUAAAAUUGUCCUUCUGUUCCUUUUACAUAGACAAAAGGCUGAAAAUAUUAUGUCAUGUAAGUGAGGAGUGCAUCCAUCUCAGAAACGGGCCUUCCAGGGGGCAAAACCCUAAACAGAGAGAGCUGCAGGCAAGGGUAUACUCAGCUUCCCUGGCGCCCAGGGCCUAGAAGCUGCUGAGCACUGGCACACUGCAUAACUCAUAUAUUUACAAGGCUCACUGCCCUGCAGAAUUUUCCAAAUGCUUUUUUUUUUUUAACCCUGAGAUGUGUUUGAGACUUACUAAGCACCUGGCUGAGCCCAAACUACAAAAUUUGUAGUACCUAUUAACCCAAUUUGGUAAUGUCAACCAAUUUGGAGCUUUCUUUUUUUUUAAGAUUUUAUUUGUAUUUUAUUAUGUAUGCAGCAUUCUGCUUCCAUGUAUAUCUGCACACCAGAAGAGGGCACCAGAUCUCAUAGCAGAUGGUUGUGAGCCACCAUGUGGUUGCUGGGAAUUGAACUCAGGACCUCUGGAAGAGCAGCGGGUGCUCUUAACCUCUGAGCCAUCUCUCCAGCCCCCCAACUUGGGGCUUUCUUAUGGCACCCUUCUCCCUCACCACAGGAUCUUCAAAGAAUGCCCUUUGCUUUCCCUGGGUGUCCUAAAACAUUACCUCAGACCAUACUGUGCCACUGGCUUGAAUAAACCUUUUGUCUGAAAAUUGUUCAGACUCUGUGCCUCCUUUGACCUACAGUGAUGGCAUAGCUGAGCAUUUGUUGAAAUAAAACAGUAUAGUUUACCGCAUCAAUUGACUCUUCCUUUCCUUAAAGAAUUUCUCUGUAGCAUGCUAUGUUUGAACUUUAAUUGCAGUUAGUGCUUUCAUGCCCUUGUCCUGUGCUAUCAACUACAUGGAUGUAAUAUUUUAAAUUCUUUGUGAUAUAAACAGUUUUUACAGUCUCUUCACCAGGUAUAAAAGCCAUCUCAAGAAACCUGUAUUUUCUUAUAAGAAAGCAAACUCCUCAUCCAUUAAAGUUUUGUUCAUAAGAUUGCA